UCGGGAAUCUUGGACAAUGGGCGCAAGCCUGAUCCAGCCAUGCCGCGUGAGUGACGAAGGUCUUCGGAUUGUAAAGCUCUUUUGGCGGGGACGAUAAUGACGGUACCCGCAGAAUAAGCCCCGGCUAACUUCGUGCCAGCAGCCGCGGUAAUACGAAGGGGGCUAGCGUUGUUCGGAAUUACUGGGCGUAAAGCGCACGUAGGCGGACUCUUAAGUCAGGGGUGAAAUCCCGGGGCUCAACCUCGGAACUGCCCUUGAUACUGUGAGUCUCGAGACCGGAAGAGGUGAGUGGAAUUCCUAGUGUAGAGGUGAAAUUCGUAGAUAUUAGGAAGAACACCAGUGGCGAAGGCGGCUCACUGGUCCGGUUCUGACGCUGAGGUGCGAAAGCGUGGGGAGCAAACAGGAUUAGAUACCCGAGUAGUCCCUGAGCGGGCUGGCAAGGCGCAU
rnacentral:rRNA from 1 species